rnacentral:rRNA from 1 species
GACGAACGCUGGCGGCGUGCUUAACACAUGCAAGUCGAACGGAAAGGCCCUGCUUUUGUGGGGUGCUCGAGUGGCGAACGGGUGAGUAACACGUGAGUAACCUGCCCUUGACUUUGGGAUAACUUCAGGAAACUGGGGCUAAUACCGGAUAGGAGCUCCUGCUGCAUGGUGGGGGUUGGAAAGUUUCGGCGGUUGGGGAUGGACUCGCGGCUUAUCAGCUUGUUGGUGGGGUAGUGGCUUACCAAGGCUUUGACGGGUAGCCGGCCUGGGAGGGUGACCGGCCACAUUGGGACUGAGAUACGGCCCAGAGUCCUACGGGAGGCAGCAGUGGGGAAUAUUGAACAAUGGGCGGAAGCCUGAUGCAGCAACGCCGCGUGCGGGAUGCCGGCCUUCGGGUUGUAAACCGCUUUCGCCUGUGACGAAGCGUGAGUGACGGUAAUGGGUAAAGAAGCACCGGCUAACUACGUG